rnacentral:rRNA from 1 species
UACGGGGGGGAGCAAGCGUUGUUCGGAAUUACUGGGCGUAAAGCGCACGUAGGCGGCUUUGUAAGUUAGAGGUGAAAGCCCGGGGCUCAACUCCGGAAUUGCCUUUAAGACUGCAUCGCUAGAAUUGUGGAGAGGUAAGUGGAAUUCCGAGUGUAGAGGUGAAAUUCGUAGAUAUUCGGAAGAACACCAGUGGCGAAGGCGACUUACUGGACACAUAUUGACGCUGAGGUGCGAAAGCGUGGGGAGCAAACAGG